rnacentral:rRNA from 1 species
UACGUAGGGUGCGAGCGUUGUCCGGAAUUAUUGGGCGUAAAGCGCACGUAGGCGGAUCGAUCAGUCAGGGGUGAAAUCCCAGGGCUCAACCCUGGAACUGCCUUUGAUACUGUCGAUCUGGAGUAUGGAAGAGGUGAGUGGAAUUCCGAGUGUAGAGGUGAAAUUCGUAGAUAUUCGGAGAAACACCAGUGGCGAAGGCGGCUCACUGGUCCAUUACUGACGCUGAGGUGCGAAAGCGUGGGGAGCAAACAGG